CCUACGGGUGGCAGCAGUCGAGCAUCAUUCACAAUGGGGGAAACCCUGAUGGUGCGACGCCGCGUGGGGGAAUGAAGGUCUUCGGAUUGUAAACCCCUGUCAUGUGGGAGAAAAUUAAAAGGAUAGUACCCCAAGAGGAAGAGACGGCUAACUCGGUGACAGCAGCCGCGGUAAUACCGAGGUGUCAAGCGUUGUUCGGAAUCACGGGGCGUAAAGCGUGCGUAGGCGGUUGCGUAAGUCGUGUGUGAAAGGCGCGGGCUCAUCCCGCGAACGGCACAUGAUACUGCGAGACUAGAGUAAUGGAGGGGGGACCAGAAGUCUCGGUGUAGCAGUGAAAUGCGUAGAGAUCGAGAGGAACACUCGUGGCGAAGGCGGGUUCCUGGACAUUAACUGACGCUGAGGCACGAAGGCCAGGGGAGCGAAAGGGAUUAGAUACCCCGGUAAUC
rnacentral:rRNA from 1 species